rnacentral:lncRNA from 1 species
GAAAAAGCUACUAAUGUUGCCUGGAAAAAGCAUGGUAACUAUUGACAAGAAUAAGAUAACCUUGACACUCCAUGGAAACUACAAGACCGAGGAUUCUCAUAAUGAUAAAAAUAUGAUGAGAGAAAAGGAGCCAAGAAGCAGCAAUGAUAACACAAAUAAAUAUCCGCCGUUCACACGACUGUAAACCCCGAACCGGUGACUACAUCUAGUUCAUCAAUCAACUAGAAAAAUAAAAGCAGCUGCAACAUCUCUAAUUAGCUAAAAGAAAGGCUCCUAGUUCGCCAUCAAUCAAUUGGAAAAUAAAAAAAGCAUCAGCACAGACUUGCAUAGAUAGACAUUAGCACAUCAUAGAAGGUUGGGAUAAACUUGCAUAAGUAGCCAGUAGCGAUAACCUAAAACUUGCACAUAGUCUCUGAACAGAAGAAGCACGCGGCAAUAUAAAGCCUGAAAAUAUGCAUAUAGAAGAAAAGAACAAGCCCAAGCCACGUUGUCGCCUCCCUGUGGACUGUGGUACGACCCCUUCCACGAGCCCGGCACCUGAAAGAAACUUCGGCUCGCCUCUAUGCGCCUACCCGCGUCCCGCCAUGGUCACUGCACUCUACUGAAGCAUCUCCAUCCUCUCC